rnacentral:tRNA from 1 species
GGAAAUGUGCCUGAAUGUCCAAGGGUCACUAUGAUAAAGUGAACAUAGAGGUGCACCAACCCUCUCAUUUCCU